rnacentral:tRNA from 1 species
UCGUGGCCAACUGGUUAAGGUGAUGGACUAGAAAUCCAUUGCGGUCUCCCCACACAUGUUCGAGUCCUGUCGACUGCG